rnacentral:rRNA from 1 species
UGCCUACGGGGGGCUGCAUUGGGGAAUAUUGCACAAUGGGCGCAAGCCUGAUGCAGCAACGCCGCGUGAGGGACGACGGCCUUCGGGUUGUAAACCUCUUUUGGCAGGGAAGAAGCGCAAGUGACGGUACCUGCAGAAAAAGCACCGGCUAACUACGUGCCAGCAGCCGCGGUAAUACGUAGGGUGCAAGCGUUGUCCGGAAUUAUUGGGCGUAAAGAGCUCGUAGGCGGUCUGUCGCGUCUGCUGUGAAAACCCGAGGCUCAACCUCGGGCCUGCAGUGGGUACGGGCAGACUAGAGUGCGGUAGGGGAGAUUGGAAUUCCUGGUGUAGCGGUGGAAUGCGCAGAUAUCAGGAGGAACACCGAUGGCGAAGGCAGAUCUCUGGGCCGUAACUGACGCUGAGGAGCGAAAGCGUGGGGAGCGAACAGGAUUAGAUACCCUUGUAGUCG